UGGGGAAUAUUGGACAAUGGGCGCAAGCCUGAUCCAGCCAUGCCGCGUGUGUGAUGAAGGCCCUAGGGUUGUAAAGCUCUUUCACCGGUGAAGAUAAUGACGGUAACCGGAGAAGAAGCCCCGGCUAACUUCGUGCCAGCAGCCGCGGUAAUACGAAGGGGGCUAGCGUUGUUCGGAUUUACUGGGCGUAAAGCGCACGUAGGCGGACUUUUAAGUCAGGGGUGAAAUCCCGGGGCUCAACCCCGGAACUGCCUUUGAUACUGGAAGUCUGGAGUAUGGUAGAGGUGAGUGGAAUUCCGAGUGUAGAGGUGAGAUUCGUAGAUAUUCGGAGGAACACCAGUGGCGAAGGCGGCUCACUGGACCAUUACUGACGCUGAGGUGCGAAAGCGGGAGGAGCAAACAGG
rnacentral:rRNA from 1 species